rnacentral:rRNA from 1 species
GACGAACGCUGGUGGCGUGCUUAACACAUGCAAGUCGAACGGAAAGGCCCUGCUUUUGUGGGGUGCUCGAGUGGCGAACGGGUGAGUAACACGUGAGUAACCUGCCCUUGACUUUGGGAUAACUUCAGGAAACUGGGGCUAAUACCGGAUAGGAGCUCCUGCUGCAUGGUGGGGGUUGGAAAGUUUCGGCGGUUGGGGAUGGACUCGCGGCUUAUCAGCUUGUUGGUGGGGUAGUGGCUUACCAAGGCUUUGACGGGUAGCCGGCCUGAGAGGGUGACCGGCCACAUUGGGACUGAGAUACGGCCCAGACUCCUACGGGAGGCAGCAGUGGGGAAUAUUGCACAAUGGGCGGAAGCCUGAUGCAGCAACGCCGCGUGCGGGAUGACGGCCUUCGGGUUGUAAACCGCUUUCGCCUGUGACGAAGCGUGAGUGACGGUAAUGGGUAAAGAAGCACCGGCUAACUACGUGCCAGCAGCCGCGGUGAUACGUAGGGUGCGAGCGUUGUCCGGAUUUAUUGGGCGUAAAGGGCUCGUAGGUGGUUGAUCGCGUCGGAAGUGUAAUCUUGGGGCUUAACCCUGAGCGUGCUUUCGAUACGGGUUGACUUGAGGAAGGUAGGGGAGAAUGGAAUUCCUGGUGGAGCGGUGGAAUGCGCAGAUAUCAGGAGGAACACCAGUGGCGAAGGCGGUUCUCUGGGCCUUUCCUGACGCUGAGGAGCGAAAGCGUGGGGAGCGAACAGGCUUAGAUACCCUGGUAGUCCACGCUGUAAACGGUGGGUACUAGGUGUGGGGUCCAUUCCACGGGUUCCGUGCCGUAGCUAACGCUUUAAGUACCCCGCCUGGGGAGUACGGCCGCAAGGCUAAAACUCAAAGGAAUUGACGGGGCCCCGCACAAGCGGCGGAGCAUGCGGAUUAAUUCGAUGCAACGCGUAGAACCUUACCUGGGUUUGACAUGGAUCGGGAGUGCUCAGAGAUGGGUGUGCCUCUUUUGGGGUCGGUUCACAGGUGGUGCAUGGCUGUCGUCAGCUCGUGUCGUGAGAUGUUGGGUUAAGUCCCGCAACGAGCGCAACCCUUGUUCACUGUUGCCAGCACGUUAUGGUGGGGACUCAGUGGAGACCGCCGGGGUCAACUCGGAGGAAGGUGGGGAUGACGUCAGGUCAUCAUGCCCCUUAUGUCCAGGGCUUCACGCAUGCUACAAUGGCUGGUACAGAGAGUGGCGAGCCUGUGAGGGUGAGCGAAUCUCGGAAAGCCGGUCUCAGUUCGGAUUGGGGUCUGCAACUCGACCUCAUGAAGUCGGAGUCGCUAGUAAUCGCAGAUCAGCAACGCUGCGGUGAAUACGUUCCCGGG